rnacentral:rRNA from 1 species
GAAGUGGGUAUCCGCACGAGCGCACCUCAUCUUUAGUUGCCAUCAGUUCGGCUGGGCACUCUAGAGAAACUGCCUGGGAUGACCAGGAGGAAGGCGGGGAUGACGUCAAGUCCUCAUGGCCCUUAUGGGCUGGGCUACACACGUGCUACAAUGGCGGUAACAGAGGGAUGCAAUACGGCAACGUGGAGCAAAUCCCCAAAAACCGUCUCAGUUCGGAUUGUUCUCUGCAACUCGAGAGCAUGAAGUUGGAAUCGCUAGUAAUCGUAGAUCAGCAUGCUACGGUGAAUACGUUCCCGGGCCUUGUACACACCGCCCGUCACACCAUGGGAGUUGGUUUUACCCGAAGACGGUAUCCUAACCUUUUUGGAGGGAGCCGGCCACGGUAGGGUCAGCGACUGGGGUGAAGUCGUAACAAGGUAGCCGUAGGGGAACCUGCGGCUGGAUCACCUCCUUUCU